UACGCGAAGAACCUUACCAGGUCUUGACAUACUAUGCAAAUCUAAGAGAUUAGACGUUCCCUUCGGGGACAUGGAUACAGGUGGUGCAUGGUUGUCGUCAGCUCGUGUCGUGAGAUGUUGGGUUAAGUCCCGCAACGAGCGCAACCCUUAUUAUCAGUUGCCAGCAUUAAGUUGGGCACUCUGGUGAGACUGCCGGUGACAAACCGGAGGAAGGUGGGGAUGACGUCAAAUCAUCAUGCCCCUUAUGACCUGGGCUACACACGUGCUACAAUGGAUGGUACAACGAGUUGCGAACUCGCGAGAGUAAGCUAAUCUCUUAAAGCCAUUCUCAGUUCGGAUUGUAGGCUGCAACUCGCCUACAUGAAGUCGGAAUCGCUAGUAAUCGCGGAUCAGCAUGCCGCGGUGAAUACGUUCCCGGGCCUUGUACACACCGCCCGUCACACCAUGAGAGUUUGUAACACCCAAAGUCGGUGGGGU
rnacentral:rRNA from 1 species